rnacentral:rRNA from 1 species
UACGGAGGGUGCAAGCGUUACCCGGAAUCACUGGGCGUAAAGGGCGUGUAGGCGGGAUGUUAAGUCUGACUUUAAAGACUGUGGCUCAACCACAGCAGUGGGCUGGAUACUGGCAUUCUAGACAACUGGAGAGGCGAUUGGAAUUACUGGUGUAGCGGUGGAAUGCGUAGAUACCAGUAGGAACGUCAAUGGCGAAGGCAGGUCGCUGGACAGUUUGUGACGCUGAGGCGCGAAAGUGUGGGGAGCAAACCGG